UACGUAGGUGGCAAGCGUUGUCCGGAUUUACUGGGCGUAAAGAGCGCGCAGGCGGUCGUCCAAGUCGCGUGUGAAAGCCCCCGGCUCAACUGGGGAGGGUCACGCGAUACUGGUCGACUCGAAGGCAGGAGAGGGUAGUGGAAUUCCCGGUGUAGUGGGUGAAAUACGUAGAUAUUAGGAGGAACACCGGUGGCGAAGGCGGCUAUCUGGACGACAACUGACGCUGAGGCGCGAAAGCGUGGGGGAGUA
rnacentral:rRNA from 1 species